CAGUAGCCGCGGUAAUACAGAGGGUGCGAGCGUUAAUCGGAUUUACUGGGCGUAAAGCGUGCGUAGGCGGCUUCUUAAGUCGGAUGUGAAAUCCCUGAGCUUAACUUAGGAAUUGCAUUCGAUACUGGGAAGCUAGAGUAUGGGAGAGGAUGGUAGAAUUCCAGGUGUAGCGGUGAAAUGCGUAGAGAUCUGGAUGAAUACCGAUGGCGAAGGCAGCCAUCUGGCCUAAUACUGACGCUGAGGUACGAAAGCAUGGGGAGCAAACAGGAUUAGAGACCCCAGAGUCCCUGUCUCUUAUACA
rnacentral:rRNA from 1 species